CCUACGGGGGGCACCAGUGGGGAAUAUUGGACAAUGGGCGAAAGCCUGAUCCAGCAAUGCCGCGUGUGUGAAGAAGGUCUCCGGAUUGUAAAGCACUUUCGACGGAGACGAUGAUGACGGUACCCGUAGAAGAAGCCCCGGCUAACUUCGUGCCAGCAGCCGCGGUAAUACGAAGGGGGCUAGCGUUGCUCGGAAUGACUGGGCGUAAAGGGCGCGUAGGCGGUUUAUGCAGUCAGAUGUGAAAUCCCCGGGCUUAACCUGGGAACUGCAUUUGAGACGCAUAGACUAGAGGUCGAGAGAGGGUUGUGGAAUUCCCAGUGUAGAGGCGAAAUUCGUAGAUAUUGGGAAGAACACCGGUGGCGAAGGCGGCAACCUGGCUCGAUACUGACGCUGAGGCGCGAAAGCGUGGGGAGCAAACAGGAUUAGAUACCCUUGUAGUC
rnacentral:rRNA from 1 species